rnacentral:rRNA from 1 species
UACGUCGGGUGCGAGCGUUCAUCGGAAUUACUGGGCGUAAAGCGUGCGCAGGCGGUUAUGUAAGACAGAGGUGAAAUCCCCGGGCCCAACCUGGGAACUGCCUUUGUGACUGCAUGACUAGAGUACGGCAGAGGGGGAUGGAAUUCCGCGUGUAGCAGUGAAAUGCGUAGAUAUGCGGAGGAACACCGAUGGCGAAGGCAAUCCCCUGGGCCUGUACUGACGCUCAUGCACGAAAGCGUGGGGAGCAAACAGG